UUCCUUAUGUGUGUCGGUCCAUGAUGCCGUUUUUAAGAAUGAGUUUUUUACUAUCGCUGCACAUGAUGUACAUUGUUAGUAUUACAGGAUUUAGCCCUGAAUUAAAAGCUUUACGUUUAACCUACAUUGAUGGUUGCCAGUUACACGUAAACUGGUCCUCCUCUUCUGAUGACUCCUGUUCUGAUGUACUAGUUUACAAUGAUGCGACCAACACCUCACAGACGUAUAAUGCUUCAGACGAACACACACACGUCACACAUCCCGUGGAUUCGGCCAGUAAUCUGGAUGUGAUUUUUAGAGAAGGUUGUCAUGGUAACCUAACCACGUUCAACAGCACAAUCACUGAAAGGAAAUCUACAUUUCCAGACUUGGGACCAUUACCUGACGUCACUAAGGUGAAUAAAUCGGAUAACAUUGAGCUAAGAUGCACGACAAGGGGGGCUAUGAUCAAAUUUCGCACGGUCUGGCACAAAACUGGGUCUGAGAUUUCCCUUUCCAACAAAACAGCUCUCUACCUUCGAAACGUCACCUAUACGGACACCGGAAGUUAUGUCUGCUUUGUGCACUAUCAAUCGUGUAAUGCCAACAACAUUUCGAAUACCAAGAAUAAUCUAACGAAAACAACUUACGUAGAUGUCCAAGGUCCGCCACUUUUUAUCCUUCCAACGGAGAAAAAAUCCUACCAAGUAGCAGAGGGACAACCUAUUAUGUUCCACAUCACAAUAGCAAGUUCUCCCUCUCCCGAGCAAUCUCUUGUCCUAUGGAAGUCAGAUAGUAAUAAGUCAUUUAGGAUUGGUGUUGAUUUCAACAGAAAGAAAGCACCUCUCUCUGAAGCAAAAGAUAUUUCUGGCGAGAUGCCGGUAUACACGGCAUACGUAAGACUAACCAACAUCACAUCGUCAUGGACUGGAACCUACAUUCUGUACAUCAACAACUCUCGUGGAUACGACACUUAUGAGUUCUCAAUAAACGUUCAUUACCCACCAAAAGUUUCGAUCUGGCAGUCCCGCUCCUUGGAGAUAGUAGGCGGGGGCAUUGGUGGUUUGGUAUUUUUGGCGAUAGUUGUGGGAAUCAUCGUCAUGUGCCACACGAGACACAAACAAAAAAAGGUCAUACAAGAAAAUAUCAAAGAAUUGGUCGAGGCUAAGAAUAAAGAAAGGAAGGAUGCUCUGGGAGUUUGGGAUUUAGGGACAAGACCUGAAAGCAGUUCGUGUUUUAUUUGGAGCAUGCCGCCAUUUAUUGUUAAACGUUGUAGCUCACCCGAAUCGAAGGCUAAACUUAAUAGCGCUUUUUUUUUUUUUAAUUUGUCUGACGUUUGUUCACUCGUAUCCUCGAGGACCACUGUGUCAAUUUCAACUAAACAUCCUUUGGGUAAUCGGGAUUCAAGUUUGUUAAAAUUAAAUUAGGAUAGAGUGUUGGGAUGGGGGUGUUUUUAAACCUUUUCAAUGACCACUUCAGUAAAGGAGAAAAGGUUGCAUGAAAGUCUUAUGAUGUGGUGAUUAAACUUUAGUCAACUCAUGAUUCCAAGGGUCAGAGUAGGUCAAAAUAGACCACAACACUAUAUGAAAUCCAAAAAAUUAAAAUAGAACAAUUCUCAAGAACCAUAAAACAACAAUUUGUCAAAUUAACACACCCACAUAUAAGAGAGUUCUGCAAGUUCAAAAUCAUCUUCAGAAAUCAGAUUCAAGCUUGUUCCCAUCAUGGAGGCAUGUGUGCUAGUUUUACAAGGGGAAAAUGCCCAGGCAACCCACGGUCUGUUUUAUAAUACAUAAUCAAAACUCGAAAAUUAUUAAGUAUAUUUGGAAAUCAAAAUAACUAGGACGUCAAAAUGUUUUUGAACACAGUAUUUAUAAAAAUCAAUAUUUACUUCUGUGUAAUUUACAUGUUUUUUUGUAACAUUUCAGAAUUUGAUUUCACAAAUGAACAACACCGUCAGCUUCAAAGUACAAAUACAUUCAAUGAUGUGGAAGAUGCAAUCUGAAAAGCAACAUCUCCGGGCGUUUCAUCACAUCCCCACAGUAGAAACAACUGACGCAAUCAAGGAUGGACAAGGAGCAAGAUUAAUUUGGACAAAAUUUGACACUUGUGCUUCAUUCAGACUCCAUUUUCCUGUUCUGAAAUUUAAUGCCCUCUUUAGAUAUUGAAGCUCAUAUGGCAUCAGGAUGUUCUAUCACAUCCUCACAGUAGAAACAACUGAAGCCAUCAAGGAUGGACUAGGAUCAAUUUGUGGACAAAAUUUGACAGUGCUUCCUUUGGACUCCAUUUCCAAAAUUGCUCUGGAUUUUAUGACCUCUUUUUGAGAUUGAAGCUCAGAUGGCAUAUAGUUUCUAAUUUAUCUGUCUGUCUGCCUACAACUAGAUUGACCUUGGUUAUAAAUUUCAAACUUUACAACAUAGAAACUUCAUAUUUGGUGAAGUUUGAGGUCAAAGUAAGAAGUACCUGUAUCCGACUGAUGUCAAGGUCAUUUAUCAAGUUCAAAUAUACCACAGAAAGAGUGUGGCCAUGCCCGUGGACAGUGUUUUACAAACAAGUUUUUCUUCUUUCUGGAUUGAUGCAAUAGCAAAAUACAAUGAUUCCAUACUAAAUGAGUGUACAGUUUUAUUUAUAAAAUGAUAAAGUCACAGUUUUAAUUAUUACAUGAAGUCACAAUACAAGCUAGAAAGGUUCAAAAGCUUUCUUACUACAAGAAGUGAGAGGGGAAACUUUGUUUUCUGACAGAGAAGAACAGAAAAGACAGGAAAAAAGAUCACUUUCGAAAAAUUAUGCUUGUACACUCAUGAAAUUUUGAAGCUUGACAAUCAUAAUCUCUUCCACAUAGUAAGGAGAUAAUUUCUAGAAACGAGACAAAGGCAAUCUGUUCUCUACAAAAUACCUCCAUUGUUUCACAAUAAAGCAAUGUGAUUACAGCAGCAGUUUGUACUAAAAGAAAGAGACUAUAACAUCAAUCAGAAUCCCAAACUGAUACACAGUAUGCCAAAGCAAGCUCGAUACACUCAAAUGGCAAAUGCAGUAUAUAAUACUUGUACAAUGUACAUAAUGUGAUAAAUUGCAUUAUCAAGCUAUAAAUUUGUCUUUGGUUUUAAAAUUGAUUUUUUCCUAGACAUUCAUUACCUUAAAACACGUCUGCUAAUAUCUGCGUUCUUUUUAAAUUUAUCUUUUGAAAAUUAUGGUAUCGAUAUUCAUGUCAUAAUAGAUUUUGUAAAGUUAGAAUUUUACUACAUCAGCUAAUCACAACCAUAAAAUCAUAAUGUUAAAGUUGAUGCCUCACUACGAAUUUAAAAAACUGCAGAUAUGACAAAAAAUUAUUUCACAACAACAGCACAUAAAAAUGUUCAAAGAUGCAUAUUAUGAAACUCAUGUCAUUUCAUGGAAACAUGUUAAAAAAUGUAAAACAAUAUAAACACUGUCAGUUAAAAAAACAGAAUAUAGACACAGUUCCAAUAAUUAAACCAAAUCAUGCAUUAGCAAGAAAUUUUCAUUUCCUAUACCAUCCCUAUAAUUUCUUUACUACCCACCCAAAUGAAAUUCCCCCC